GUAGGUUAUGGAGACAUCUAUCCACAAACCCUACUUGGUAAAAUAGUAGGUGGGCUCUGUUGUAUUGCUGGUGUGCUGGUGAUCGCAUUGCCCAUUCCCAUCAUUGUGAACAAC
rfam:Astyanax mexicanus chromosome 17, whole genome shotgun sequence.